rnacentral:rRNA from 1 species
CCUACGGGUGGCUGCAGUGGGGAAUAUUGGACAAUGGGCGAAAGCCUGAUCCAGCCAUGCCGCGUGUGUGAAGAAGGCCUUGGGGUUGUAAAGCACUUUCAGUGGGGAAGAAAGCCUUGGGGCUAAUACCCUCGAGGAAGGACAUCACCCACAGAAGAAGCACCGGCUAACUCCGUGCCAGCAGCCGCGGUAAUACGGAGGGUGCGAGCGUUAAUCGGAAUUACUGGGCGUAAAGCGCGCGUAGGCGGUCUGAUAAGCCGGUUGUGAAAGCCCCGGGCUCAACCUGGGAACGGCAUCCGGAACUGUCAGGCUAGAGUGCAGGAGAGGAAGGUAGAAUUCCCGGUGUAGCGGUGAAAUGCGUAGAGAUCGGGAGGAAUACCAGUGGCGAAGGCGGCCUUCUGGACUGACACUGACGCUGAGGUGCGAAAGCGUGGGUAGCAAACAGGAUUAGAUACCCCAGUAGUC